AGCGAACGCUGGCGGCAGGCUUAACACAUGCAAGUCGAGCGGGCGUAGCAAUACGUCAGCGGCAGACGGGUGAGUAACGCGUGGGAACGUACCUUUUGGUUCGGAACAACACAGGGAAACUUGUGCUAAUACCGGAUAAGCCCUUACGGGGAAAGAUUUAUCGCCGAAAGAUCGGCCCGCGUCUGGUUAGCUAGUUGGUAAGGUAAUGGCCUACCAAGGCGACGAUCAGUAGCUGGUCUGAGAGGAUGAUCAGCCACAUUGGGACUGAGACACGGCCAAAACUCCUACGGAAGGCAGCAGUGGGGAAUAUUGGACAAUGGGGGCAACCCUGAUCCAGCCAUGCCGCGUGAGUGAUGAAGGCCCUAGGGUUGUAAAGCUCUUUUGUGCGGGAAGAUAAUGACGGCACCGCAAGAAUAAGCCCCGGCUAACUUCGUGCCAGCCGCCGCAGUAA
rnacentral:rRNA from 1 species